GCUGGGUCUGAACAUGAAGGACAGGCCAUCGGAAGACCUGGGAUAGCUUCUGGCCUGUUUUCUGGAAGAUGAAUGAAAAUAUCAGGAAACCUUUCUCCAACCACUCUGCAUUCACAGGCAACUUCAUAAACGGCUGAAGCUUAAUUUUGUCAGACACUGAUACAACUUCUUGUGCAUUGAAGGACUUUGGAUGGAUGUCCAAAAUUAAUUUUUAAAUGUAAUUUUAGCUUCUGUAUUUAGCGCGAGAGAAAUCAUACCAGGAAGUCUCUGAUAACAUGGAACCCAGCUUUCCUCGUCUGUUGUAUUUCAAGAAGCUGGCACACAAGCAGAACCUUCACAAACCUUGGCUUUUCAGUCUGAAGAGGUGGCCCCCCAUUGUGCACUGCAGGCACAAUGAUGUGGGCAUUUGUCACCUUUGAGAAAGGCGAGGAAGCAGAUAGCUGUUACAUUCAGGAAUGGUUGCAGCCGUGGCAUGGCGUUGCUCUUCAUUCGACUCUUCAGAGGCCACUGGAGACCUCAGUCCAAGUGGGAAGGUGGCAUGACUCUCUUGAUGUAUCAAUCAGUGCUUACCAGAGAAGCAGAUUUAAUGCAAGAUACACAAAUAUAUAAGAAUGUACAAGAUUGGCUCAUAAUGGCUGCCCGCAAAGUCAGACGUGGAACAGUGCAAGAGGUCUGUCUACAUGUUGAAGAUCCGAAAGAUUCAGUCAAAUGCCUGGAAGUGACUGUAGUAUCCUGUGUGAGUCCAUAUUCAGAGGCUGAAGAGCCUGUCGUGGAAGCCAGGAGAUAACGUCCAUGGUGAAGGUGAAGACCUGAGCUCCUCUGAAGAAGGAGAAGUGAGCCUUCCUUUUUCAUGAACCUCUUACACCAUUCUGGUGACAAUUCUGCCUAGGGUGGUCUUCCCCACCCAUGUUUAUGCUAAGCCAAUCUAGUUAGGAUUUUUACUUAACUUUACACAAUCAAUUAACUAUCACGUUUGAUAUACCAUUUAUUUUCACACUUGAUGCUAGAUAAAUGUGUCAUAAAAUAAGAAAAUGUGUCACAAAAGAAAAAAUAUGUCACAAAAAUAAGAAAGUGAUAAGGAAAUGACAAGGAAAGACUGAUAAGUAGCAAAAGUUUUUUGUCAAAUGAUGCAUUUAUAUAGUAAGGCAUAAUUGAAAAUGUGAACUUUUAUGUGAAGCAUGAUCUUAAAUAUUGGCAACAAAAAUUAUGUUGUGUAGGUUAUUUUUGCAAAAUAACAUGGUCUAAACUGACCACAGUGGCCUCUGGAACACAUUUUUUUUUUUUUUUUUUUUUUUUUGUAGAGAGUGGGAUUUUGUUUUAUAUCUGUUGGUUUGGGGAUUAUUUUUAAUAUUAUCAUAACCACUUUCAUCUGUUCUUCUUUUAGUCUAUGUCUAAUGCAGGACUUCGGCGACAAACUUUAGUAGUUGUUCAGAUGGUCCCUGAGCUGGUCUAGAGUCCAGGUGAUCAGCUCUACUCACCUAGCCCUGCCCAAGGGAAGUGCGCCCCUAGAGGCCAACAGCAGAGCACCUUCCUGUGGCUUCUUGUUUAACUGAGGUCUAUGAGGCGGGUGGAGAGGCCCAUGAUGACAGCAAAGCCCACCUGCUAAUUGUGAACCCAAUCCACUGCCAUGUGACCUAUCUGUAGUAAGACAUGUUAGUAAAACCGGGCUGAUCUUGGUGGAGACCAAAAAGGCCCCUUUGUAUAGACCAGGAGAAGCCCACAACAGGCUGGGAAGCAGGAAAAAUGUAGCCCCUAGACCAUCGUCUGAUGUCACAAAGCAGGAAAUUAGUAGGAGCACUCCGUGUCCUUGCAGAAGGAAGGGGCCUCGCACUCUAGCUUCUUUUGACUCGAUCCUGUUUGCUCAGUGGUCUCUGAGCUGCUAGUUACCCGUUAUGCACAUUUUAUUGUUUGGCAAAAGCCAAAUGAACACAGCUCUUCUAGUUGCUGGGAAGGAAUCUUCCCUAUUAUGGAUUUAGUAGCUUGGGUUAUAAAUCAGUUCUCCAUGAACUUGGUUAACGUAACUCAGGCUGCAAAACCCUGCUGAACCGAAGCAGAGAAGCCCAGGACUCUGGCUUCCUCCCCUGCUUGGGAGGCUGGGUUUUGGGAAGUGGGGUGGAUGUGCCGAGGCUGCCUGUUCUGUGACAGCACACUGACAUUU